GGGGAAUCUUGCACAAUGGGGGACACCCUGAUGCAGCGACGCCGCGUGAACGAUGAAGCCCUUCGGGGUGUAAAGUUCUUUCGACAGGAACGAUAAUGACGGUACCUGGAGAAGAAGCUGCGGCUAACUCCGUGCCAGCAGCCGCGGUAAUACGUAGGCAGCGAGCGUUGUUCGGAGUUACUGGGCGUAAAGAGUGCGUAGGCGGCGAGCCAAGUUUGGUGUGAAAUCUCCCGGCUUAACCGGGAGGGUGCGCCGAAAACUGGUUGGCUGGAGUAUGGGAGAGGAAAGCGGAAUUCCUUGUGUAGCGGUGAAAUGCGUAGAUAUCAGUAGGAACACCUGCGGUGUAGACAGCUUUCUGGACCAAAACUGACGCUGAGGCACGAAAGCGUG
rnacentral:rRNA from 1 species